AAUUCGAUGGCUCUUUUGCCUCUCUCCGUCCCAUGCCCUCACGGGCGGUGGGUCGGACGUCGGGCAGGCCUCGUGUUCCCGGCAUGCCUAGCCCAGUUGCGUGGCUGCCUCGGUGCAUGAGGCCCUUUGCCCGUGCUCUCGGAUUCGGAAUGUUAUGUGCUGCGGGUGGGUGGCUCAUCGGAGGCCCUCCAUCCGAUCAAGCAACGCAUUUUGUCCAACGAGACGAACGACCGCUGCACCCGUCUUUGGGCCUGCGGCCUCACGGCUCGGCACGGCUCAUG
rnacentral:misc_RNA from 1 species